AUGCAGUCGAACGGUGAUAGCAAUAUCAUAGUGGCGCACGGGUGCGUAACACGUAUGCAACCUACCUUAUACUGAGGGAUAGCCUUUCGAAAGGGAGAUUAAUACCUCAUAACACAUUGAACUGGCAUCAGUUUAUUGUUAAAGAUUUAUUGGUAUAAGAUGGGCAUGCGUCCAAUUAGUUAGUUGGCGAGGUAACGGCUCACCAGGACGAUGAUUGGUAGGGGAACUGAGAGGUUAAUCCCCCACACUGGCACUGAGAUACGGGCCAGGCUCCUACGGGAGGCAGCAGUAGGGAAUAUUGGGCAAUGGAGGCAACUCUGACCCAGCCAUGCCGCGUGCAGGAAGAAGGCGUUAUGCGUUGUAAACUGCUUUUAUAUAGGAAGAAAUAGACCUUGCGAGGUAAGUUGACGGUACUAUAUGAAUAAGCACCGGCUAACUCCGUGCCAGCAGCCGCGGUAAUACGGAGGGUGCAAGCGUUGUCCGGAUUUAUUGGGUUUAAAGGGUGCGUAGGCGGUUUAUUAAGUCAGUGGUGAAAGACGGUCGCUCAACGAUUGCAGUGCCAUUGAUACUGGUAGACUUGAGUGGGAUUGAGGUAGCUGGAAUGGAUAGUGUAGCGGUGAAAUGCAUAGAUAUUAUCCAGAACACCAAUUGCGUAGGCAAGUUACUAAGUCUCAACUGACGCUGAGGCACGAAAGUGUGGGUAUCAAACAGGAUUAGAUACCCUGGUAGUCCACACUGUAAACG
rnacentral:rRNA from 1 species